AACGAACGUUAGCGGCGCGCUUAACACAUGCAAGUCGUGCGAGAAAGGGCUUCGGCCCCGGUACAGCGGCGCACGGGUGAGUAACACGUAGGCAAUCUGCCCCCAGGUGGUGGAUAACCUUCCGAAAGGAGGGCUAAUACAGCAUAAGACCACGGGUUCGAAAGGACUUGAGGUCAAAGCCGGCCUCUUCACGAAAGCUGGCGCCAGGGGAUGAGCCUGCGGCCCAUCAGGUAGUUGGUAGGGUAAUGGCCUACCAAGCCUAAGACGGGUAGCUGGUCUGAGAGGAUGAUCAGCCACACUGGAACUGAGACACGGUCCAGACUCCUACGGGAGGCAGCAGUGGGGAAUCUUGCGCAAUGGGCGAAAGCCUGACGCAGCGACGCCGCGUGAGUGAUGAAGGCCUUCGGGUUGUAAAGCUCUGUGGAGAGGGACGAAUAAGUGUUGGCUAACAUCCAGCAUGAUGACGGUACCUCUUUAGCAAGCACCGGCUAACUCUGUGCCAGCCGCCGCUGUAAAAC
rnacentral:rRNA from 1 species